rnacentral:misc_RNA from 1 species
UCAACCCUCAAGCCCCAGCGGUUUGGUGUUGGCGGCCAGCUGGAGAGAUCCAGCUGCCGCCGAAAUGCAGGGGCGGUCGCCUCGCGGCAACCAUUACGCAGUAGUAACAUCUCGUAACUGGGACGCGGAGCGGCCACGCCUAACCCACUCAUUUUUUUAGAGUUGACCUCGGAUCAGGUAGGGAUACCCGCUGAACUUAA